rnacentral:lncRNA from 1 species
AAACAAUAAAAUCCCUUCAAUUAUUUGUUCCUCAGAUCUCAAAGCAUGCCAUCAUAUUUGCACGAAUCCUAAAGCUCUCCUUCACUCCUCACGUAUCAAACCCCAAUUCCUUCUCUUCGCGUAUUCUUCCCAACGGCUUAUCUCCCCUUCAAGCCGUUCACAACUCCAAUCUUCUUCCCGAAACAACUUCAUCCGCAAACACAUCUCCCAGAUCUCAUCCCAUCAUAAUCUAUCUUCAUACACUUCNN